rnacentral:misc_RNA from 1 species
AGGUGUCCGCUGCGAAAUGGGAUGCUCGGUGCCUAUGCCUUGCCUCCCCCCCGCCCAUCCAUCUAUGAUGGGGGGCCAAGGCAAGGCAUAGGCACGCCCCGGUCGGCGGGUUCGGUUGUCGGUUCGACGGUCUCCGACUGUCGAUCCGAUCAUCGAUCCGUCGACGACGGUCAGGUGGGCUAGUAGGGCUGUGUUGAUAUCCUUCGGGGGGAGAGGGACGGUUCAUCUCGGAUUUUGAUUCUUCCAACGCGUUCGAAGGGCAAGCGUGAGCACGGCUCCGGCUGUGUGAUCGUGAGAACGGAGAAUGCCGCGGUCGGGUCGAGAUUUGAGUUUUAACCUCUCGGGGGAGCGCAACAUCGUCUCUACUUUCUCAUCUGGCCGUUGAUGGAGAUUAUUCUCCAUCAUGUCCCGUCGGAAAAAUUGUUUUCACUUGGUCUGGUGGGCUACUAGUGCUGUGUUGAUAUCCUUCGGGGGGAGAGGGACGGUUCAACUCGGAUUUUGAUCUUUCCAACGCGUUCGAAGGGCAAGCGUGAGCACGGCUCCGGCUGUGUGAGCGUGAGAACGGAGAAUGCCGCGGUCGGGUCGAGAUUUGAGUUUUAACCUCUCGGGGGAGAGCAACACUGUCUCUACUUUCUCGCUUGGCUUGUCAAAGAGAUUAUUCAUUAUGCUCCAUACCAAAACAUACCGAAAAAAUGCAGAAGAACUAGCAUGCUUAGGCUUGUGCUAACUUGAUGCCAUCAUAAGGUUUGUUGCGGUGGGUUGGGCGUAAUGGAGAAUCGUUGGUUUUUCAAAAAAAAWAAAAAWAAAAAAAAAAUCAUUUGCUUGUCCCUCGGUUUUUAAAGGUUACUGUCCCUCGGAUUGUGUGUUUCUUCGCGUGAAGCGGUGCUGGUGUGGUCUUUCUUGAUGUUUCUGCAUGCUCAGCGGUUCUAGUAAUCGUUGGGUUGUGGUUCGUCAGGUUGGGUCAUCAUCAAGUGUACGCAACUCAUGUGUGAGUGGUGGUCGGAUGGCAUGGGUCUGCAAGCUCCUUGCUCAGCGCAACGAAUUGUAAGCUCGCCAUCCUUUUCAUAGUCCUUCCCCAAGCAUUGUCAUUUGCCUUGUGGGUAAGAUUGGUAUCCUGUGUUUUUUACCGACGGAACGGAAUUCGAUUGUUUUCAUUUCUCUAUUCGCCCGGUUCCCUUAGGGGUGUUGGGCAGACGAUAGGCUGACCUCGUGUUCCAGGUACAUCUCGCAUUUUUGUGUGGUUGCCGUGGCCCAUGGGGUUACGCUUGUUCUCUCGGAUGCGGAUCGUUAGUUGUGGGCGAGGGGUUACGACCUCCAUUCGUCCAAUCUAUUAUGCAUUUGUCAAUCGACACGAACGACUGCUGCGCUCGUCUUGGCUUUUUACAGCCGAAUGGCUGUACAAUGUCCAUGCGAGUGUCGGUGUCGUGAAGGAAUGC